AAGUCGUAACAAGGUUUCCGUAGGUGAACCUGCGGAAGGAUCAUUAUUGAAAUAAACCUGAUAGGUUGUUGCUGGCUUCCUAGCAUGUGCACACCUUGUCAUCUUUAUAUCUCCACCUGUGCAUCUUUUGUAGACCUUUCAGGUCUAUGUUGCUUCAUUUACCCCAAUGUAUGUUAAUAGGAUGUUGUGACUAUAUAAAAUCUAUACAACUUUCAGCAACGGAUCUCUUGGCUCUC
rnacentral:misc_RNA from 1 species